rnacentral:rRNA from 1 species
UACAUAGGUGGCAAGCGUUGUCCGGAUUUACUGGGCGUAAAGAGCGCGCAGGCGGUCGUUCAAGUCGCGUGUGAAAGCCCCCGGCUCAACUGGGGAGGGUCACGCGAUACUGAUCGACUCGAAGGCAGGAGAGGGUAGUGGAAUUCCCGGUGUAGUGGUGAAAUGCGUAGAUAUCGGGAGGAACACCAGUGGCGAAGGCGACUACCUGGCCUGUUCUUGACGCUGAGGCGCGAAAGCUAGGGGAGCAAACGGG